rnacentral:rRNA from 1 species
CCUGAACGCUGGCGGCGCGCCUAAUACAUGCAAGUCGAACGGGUUGCCUUCGGGCAGCCAGUGGCGGACGGGUGAGUAACACGUGGGUGACCUGCCCUCAAGUGGGGAAUAACGCUGCGAAAGCAGCGCUAAUACCGCAUCCCCUUAGCGCUUCAGUGCGUUAAGGAAAGCUCCGGCGCUUGAGGAGGGGCCUGCGGCCGAUUAGCUAGUCGGAGGGGUAAUGGCCCACCGAGGCGACGAUCGGUAGCUGGUCUGAGAGGAUGAUCAGCCACACUGGGACUGAGACACGGCCCAGACUCCUACGGGAGGCAGCAGUAAGGGAUCUUCCGCAAUGGACGCAAGUCUGACGGAGCGACGCCGCGUGCGCGACGAAGCCC